rnacentral:rRNA from 1 species
UAGUCCACGCCGUAAACGAUGGAUACUCGGUGCAGGAGGCUUCGAUCCUUUCUGUGCCUAAGCUAACGCGUUAAGUAUCCCGCCUGGGGAGUACGGUCGCAAGAUUAAAACUCAAAGGAAUUGACGGGGAUCCACACAAGCGGUGGAGCAUGUGGUUUAAUUCGACGAUAAGCGAGGAACCUUACCUAGACUUGACAUCUCGAGAACCCUGUGGAAACACGGGGGUGCCCUUGUGGAACUCGAUGACAGGUGCUGCAUGGUUGUCGUCAGUUCGUGCCGUGAGGUGUACGGUUAAGUCCUAUAACGAGCGCAACCCCUGCCGUCAGUUGCCAGCAAGUAAAGUUGGGGACUCUGACGGGACUACCGGUGCAAACCGCGAGGAAGGUGGGGACGACGUCAAAUCAUCACGGCCCUUACGUCCUGGGCUACACACGUGCUACAAUGGCCGGUACAGCGAGCAGCCACUCCGCAAGGAGGAGCGAAUCUAUAAAACCGGUCACAGUUCGGAUCGGGGUCUGCAACUCCG